rnacentral:rRNA from 1 species
CCUACGGGAGGCAGCAGUAGGGAAUAUUGCUCAAUGGGGGAAACCCUGAAGCAGCAACGCCGCGUGGAGGAUGAAGGUUUUCUGAUUGUAAACUCCUUUUGGUAGAGAAGAUAAUGACGGUACCUAACGAAUAAGCACCGGCUAACGCCGUGCCAGCAGCCGCGGUAAUACGGAGGGUGCAAGCGUUACUCGGAAUCACUGGGCGUAAAGAGGGCGUAGGCGGGAUAGCAAGUCAGAUGUGAAAUCCUAUGGCUUAACCAUAGAACUGCAGUUGAAACUGUUAUUCUAGAGUAUGGGAGGGGUAGGUGGAAUUCGUGGUGUAGGGGUGAAAUGCGUAGAGAUCACGAAGAAUACUCAUUGCGAAGGCGACCUGCCAGAACAUAACUGACGCUGAUGCGCGAAAGCGUGGGGAGCAAACAGGAUUAGAUACCCUAGUAGUC